GCCGAAGUAGCUCAGCGGUAGAGCAACGCACUCGUAAUGCGUAGGUCGUGGGUUCAAAUCCCAUCUUCGGCU
rnacentral:tRNA from 1 species